rnacentral:rRNA from 1 species
GACGGAGGGGACUAGCGUUGUUCGGAAUAACUGGGCGUAAAGGGUGCGUAGGCGGUUCUUUAAGUAAGGCGUGAAAGCCCUGGGCUCAACCCAGGAACUGCGCUUUAAACUAAAGGACUAGAGAAUGGAAGAGGAAAGCGGAAUUCCUAGUGUAGAGGUGGAAUUCGUAGAGAUUAGGAAGAACAUCAGAGGCGAAGGCGGCUUUCUGGUCCAUUCCUGACGCUGAGGCACGAUAGCGUGGGGAGCAAACAGG